UACGGAGGGGGCUAGCGUUGUUCGGAAUUACUGGGCGUAAAGCGCACGUAGGCGGCUUUGUAAGUUAGAGGUGAAAGCCCAGAGCUCAACUCUGGAAUUGCCUUUAAGACUGCAUCGCUAGAAUUGUGGAGAGGUAAGUGGAAUUCCGAGUGUAGAGGUGAAAUUCGUAGAUAUUCGGAAGAACACCAGUGGCGAAGGCGACUUACUGGACACAUAUUGACGCUGAGGUGCGAAAGCGUGGGGAGCAAACAGG
rnacentral:rRNA from 1 species